UGAGGAAUAUUGGUCAAUGGACGAGAGUCUGAACCAGCCAAGUAGCGUGCAGGAUGACGGCCCUAUGGGUUGUAAACUGCUUUUGUUUGGGAAUAAUCGACAUUACGUGUAAUGUUUUGCAUGUACCAUUCGAAUAAGGACCGGCUAAUUCCGUGCCAGCAGCCGCGGUAAUACGGAAGGUUCGGGCGUUAUCCGGAUUUAUUGGGUUUAAAGGGAGCGUAGGCCGUUUGGUAAGCGUGUUGUGAAAUGUAGGAGCUCAACUUCUAGAUUGCAGCGCGAACUGUCAGACUUGAGUGCGCACAACGUAGGCGGAAUUCAUGGUGUAGCGGUGAAAUGCUUAGAUAUCAUGAAGAACUCCGAUUGCGAAGGCAGCUUACGGGAGUGUUACUGACGCUUAAGCUCGAAGGUGCGGGUAUCGAACAGG
rnacentral:rRNA from 1 species